rnacentral:rRNA from 1 species
UACGUAGGGCGCAAGCGUUGUCCGGAAUUAUUGGGCGUAAAGAGCUCGUAGGCGGCUUGUCACGUCGAUUGUGAAAGCCCGAGGCUUAACCUCGGGUCUGCAGUCGAUACGGGCUAGCUAGAGUGUGGGAGGGGAGAUCGGAAUUCCUGGUGUAGCGGUGAAAUGCGUAGAUAUCAGAAGGAACACCUGUGGUGUAGACGGCUUUCUGGACAAUUCCUGACGCUGAGACACGAAAGCGUGGGUAGCAAACAGG